AGCGAACGCUGGCGGCAGGCCUAACACAUGCAAGUCGAACGGAUCCUUCGGGAUUAGUGGCGGACGGGUGAGUAACACGUUGGAACGUGCACUUUGGUUCGGAACAACGCAGGGAAAAAUGUGCUAAUACCGGAUGUGCCAUUCAAGGGAAAGAUUUAUCGCCAGUGGAGCGGCCCGCGUCGGAUCAGCUAGUUGGUGAGGUAAAGGCUCACAAAGGCGACGAUCAGUAGCUGGUCUGCGAGGAUGAUCAGCCACACUGGUACGGAGACACGGCCGAAACUCCUACAGGAGGGAGCAGUGGGGAAUCUUGCGAAAUGGGCGAAAGCAUGACGCAGCCAUGCUGCUUGAAUGAUGAUGGACUUAGGAUUGUAAAAUUCUUUCACCGGGGACGAUAAUGACGGUACCCGGAGAAUAAGCCCCGGCUAACUUCGUGCCAGCCGCCGCGGUAA
rnacentral:rRNA from 1 species